rnacentral:rRNA from 1 species
GCGGUACGCGAGCUGGGUUUAGAACGUCGUGAGACAGUUCGGUCCCUAUCCGCUGUGCGCGUAGGAGUCUUGAGAAGGGCUGUCCCUAGUACGAGAGGACCGGGACGGACGAACCUCUGGUGUGCCAGUUGUUCUGCCAAGGGCAUGGCUGGUUGGCUACGUUCGGGAGGGAUAACCGCUGAAAGCAUCUAAGCGGGAAGCCUGCUUCGAGAUGAGGACUCCCACCUCCUAGAGAGGGUAAGGCUCCCAGUAGACGACUGGGUUGAUAGGCCGGAUAUGGAAGCACGGUAACGUGUGGAGUUGACCGGUACUAAUAGGCCGAGGGCUUGUCCUCAGUUG